rnacentral:sRNA from 1 species
AUACCGCCUAUCCUCCGGAUGAAUCACC